AUCAUAUAAAAUGAGGAUUGGGGAUCUGCCGCCAACCCAAAAUCCUCUCGAGGAUGGAGAGGGAGUGAACGGCGGUAACGGAUGUUAGGGUUCCGGCGUUGGAAGAGAGAAAGUGAGUUGCCAUGGAAAUGCUCUUGAAGCGGCGAUCGAACAUGUGGAUUGCCAAAACCUGAGGAGAACCUGAUGGUAUAUUACGAUAGUAAUUAUAUAGUUUUCAAUCUGAAUCUUAUACGAUUGCUGCUCGCAUUUCCGCUUUUCUUCUCUCUUUUCCGUGCCGUCUCUUCUCCGUUGCUUUACUCUUUUGCUCCCUCCGGAGCCUCAUGAUGACGCUUCUCUGAAGGUUUCGCUCCGUCCUCUCCUUAAUCUUCCUGGUAUAUGAAUUGUUAUGCGUUAUUCAUUAUCGAAAUCCGUCUCUCUUUUUCCGCGUUUACUUCUUUAGAAAAGUAUGAAUCACGACUGUAGGAAACUAGUAUGACGUUUUUUUUUUUUUUUGAAAACUAUAGAAUGAAUGAGCUGAGUAAUGGAUGGUCGGAGGCUGCACACGAAGGUGUUAUCAUGUAUUGAAAAAUCUUGAAAUCAACCGUGAUGCUUUUGUGUCAUUUUGAACUUGAGAUUUUAAUGUUGAAGGGUUCAUUGGUUAAUUGAGUUUGUUUUUCUAAAGGAAUUGGUUUAAUUUUUUUGGGAUAGGGAUCUGAUUUUUCACCAUUCAAUCAUUGGUCUACGUUUCCGAUCAAAUUAUAUUUAUGGUUUAGAAUUGUAACAAUCACUUGAAAUUCUUUUCAGAAGAGGAACUAAUAAUUGUGUAGAAGUAUUAGAAAGCAUGUUGACACAACCACCGUAGGUUUGGACCAUUUUAUCUUGAAACUUUAUUCAAAUUGUUAGAGUAACCUACAUUUGAGACCCCGGCAAGGCCUAUGGCCAACUUUUGAAGGUACAAUUUCAUAACAGGUUUAGAAAAAAUACAAAGAUGAAUGAGCACUCUAUUUUCUGGAACUCUUCCAUGCCUUUUGAGCUUGUACACCUUCCCAUGUAGGAGGAAGAGUAAAAUUCAAAUUUAUUUAACAUAAUAUUGGGCUGCAUUUUCUACUUGCAUGCCAUAGUUGUUGUAGAAUUAGAUUUAUUAUACUUUAUUGUUCUCUCAGUUACAAAUUUGAUUUGAUUUUCUUUUUUAUCUUUGUUAUGUAAUUCUAUGCCCUGUGACCAAUGCUCAUUUUCUCCUAUGACACAAUCUUAGAAAUAUUUUAUUUCCAUGUAAUAGGAGAUGGAUAAUCAAUUAGAUUAUGGAAUUGUGCUGGUUAACUCGAGGAUAAAAAUCUAAUCUGUCUUUGUGGAAAACAGAGGUGGUCCUCCAACUUCAUUUGGUAGACUCACUUAGUUGAUACCAUAGCCAACGGCGAUAGGACUUUGUUUUAGAAAUUCAGCAACUAAGUUUGAACAUUUUUGUAUCAUGGGUUGUUUCUUUGUUGCUCACUUCAAGUGAUCUUAGCUAAAAGGAUAAGAAAGGCAUAAGGUUGCAUUCUUCGUGAUAAUUGACAUCUAAGUAAACAUUAGGUCUGGCUUAUACAAGAGGAAAUCAUGUUUAUAAAUUAGGUUAUUUGUUCCGUCAAGUGUAAAUUUUCGUUUUCAUUUCUACUGAGAUAUUUUUCUGUUCUUGUUUACAUACUAUGUCGUUGCCCUUUCGUUCGUAUCUGUUGAUAUUUUAUGCAGUGAACCCUGCAACUGCAAGUAACUAGAUUGUAAGUGGGCAAAAGGUGUAAAUGUAAGUUGAUCUUUGAUGGCUAAUAGAUCCAAUUUCUGGAUAGAUUAAUGGUUUUUAUAGAAAUUGGUCACAAGGUCUUGUUAAUUUUGGAUGGGGCUUAGUGACAUUUUUUUUCCCUUCUUCCCCGUUUUCCUUCUUGUUAGCCAAAAACAGUGCUACUUCUCUGAUCUCUCUACAGGUAAAUCGUGGACUUGUUUUUUGUUUUUGUUAUUUAACUAUUUAAAAAGCGCAGAUCUUAAGACAUCAACACAUUUCCUGAGGCAAAAAGAGGGGAGUGCUUGAAGUUGUACAAGAUACUCGAAGGGAACGCAAUUGUUUGUAAGCCUAUACCUUCUUAUUGAAGAAUAGUGAAAGUUAAUGAUUGUACAACGACUUCCUAGGAGUAUGAAUUAUUGGUGCCAUAAAGUAGUGGAAGAAUAUCAGGUAGGAGUGGAAAGGCCAGCUUUGUAAAGGGGUGUCUCUGAGCUGCCUAAUUCAUGCAUAUCCCUCAUAACCAUGAAAUGAUCAGGCAACGGAUAAAUCUCUCUCAUGCCCCUUUAUCUAAUUAAUUCUCCUACUCUUUGAAUUACUCUAUAUAGUUGGUAAUUGUUCCUUUAUUAAUAUGGGUAGCUGUGAUAGGUAGUACUUUUGAGGCUAAUAGUUAAGGCUAUUUGGUAACCAUUUUUUUUUUGUUUCAAAACGGGAUAGACCUGGCAGAGGAGAUUGUACCAAAGGAGACCCGUUUACCGAUCAUUUGGUUGGGUGUGUCCUUAGUCGCCCCGAAGAAGCCAUACCCCUUACAUAAUCUCACCGCUUAACUCCCAGAAGAGACAACCCCACGUGCAUAAUCUAAGAUAAAAUCUUUUCUAAAAGCUGGCGAUUUCUUUGUGUUAAGAAUGGAUACUUCUUGGUGUUUGCCGGAAUUCCAACUUGGGGAUACCUUUCACAGAUUGUCAUUAGUGUUAGGCUGUCUGGAAGUUUCAUUAACACUCACAUCAAUGAAAAAUAGAUAACAAAUGAAGAAAUUUAGAGGUGGAAAUAGUGUCCAUAAACUCAAUUUUCAAUAACAAAAAUUAAAAAACAAAAUGGUUAUCAAACGGAACUUAAGUGUAUAACAAUAUUUUUAAAGAAUUGCAAAUAUAGUAAAAUCUAUAUCAUGAGAAUUUAUAUAAUUUUUGUUAUAUUUGCAAAUUUUUUUACAUUGUCAGAAUAUUUUGGAUCUGAUUGCUAUAUUUACAUCAUCGAUCUCUAAUAAUAUUCAUGUUCUAAUCAACCACAUAAAUGUGAAUUUGGCUUUUUGUAGGAUCUCUCUUUAUAACAUUCAUAUAACAAUAAUAUAGUGAUACUAUUCCAUUGAGCUACAUUACAUGGAUUGUCGAAAUAUAUGGAAGCACAAGGAAAAUACAAGGAAAGUACAAGGUUGGAGAUGUGGCAGACAGGUUAAAAGAAUAUCAGGCACCAAGGGUUGGGAUUUGUCACCACCAUCGUGCGUCUCUUCCGUGUGGGACAGUCGCCCUUUGCAUGGUGGUUCACGUGCCUCCGCCCAGUGCGGUUGACGGUAUUUGAUAUCUUUACGCAAAUUUCAUUUUGCCAGAAGAAUCAUGUCUUGACACGUGUAUAUGCGUUCACAUGCCGCUUGCGUCAUGCUUCAGCCUUUUCCAUAUGAUUUCCAUCCAAAGCAUUUGCAAGCAGCAGUAGGCUUGGUGAAGGCUCGAAAAUGGGCCCUUGGAAUUUCCGUCGCCGUUACCGGCGGUGCUGCCUCCGCCGAUGUGUUCGCAAGAUGGGCACAUAGUGAGUGUGGUCGCGUGGCAUUUGCAUAAACAGAGGCUGCGUUAGUUCUUGCAAUCUACCUCUAUAGAGAUUGAAUGGGAAGAGAGAGAGCUUGAUGGAGAAGAAAGAGUGGAUCGGAGCCGAAAGACGGAGGAAUUCAUUUUUCACCCAAAAUUUUUACUUGGAUUUUUUUCUAAUCAUAUUUCACUUUUUAUUUUAUUAUUAUUAUUUUUUGCCAAUUCAUUUUUUUUUUUUUAUUUCAGUUUAAUAGGAAGGACUAUUUUAAGAUCAAAGUUGAACAUUUAAAAGUAUAAGGAAAGUUGGGGAUAACAACUCAUAAAGGCUCUAAUAAGUGUCCUAUAUUUCAUUUAUGUCUAAGUUCGAAUGCCUAAUAUUCUAAAAAAAAAAAAAAAAAAGUCAAUUACUAUUUAGACCCCCAACCAAUUAGAGGAGUUUUUAAGAUGGAAAAAUCAAAGGCCACACACGUUUUUUAAGAAAGAUUUAUUAUUUUUCAAAUCUUUUCAAUUAAACCAAGAUAUUAUGAGAAAAGCUGGAAGACUUUCCAUCUUCAACAACCCUCAAUAUUCCAUCUGUAGAUUCGAUUUUUUGCUAGCGAACACCUUGGACGACGAAUGGCAGACUCGAACAGUGAGCAACUAUUUACACGACUCAGACAGUGCGUGACUCAAACAGUGUGCAACUCGACUUGGCGGCGACGCGACUUGGACGAUUGGUGGACACGUCGCCGACAGUCGAACGAAGACAGAUGGCAGCAAAGAUGAAGAUGGGGACGUUUUGCUCAUGCAGACUAAGGAGCCGUUUUUGUUUUUUUGUUUUU